rnacentral:snRNA from 1 species
AUGCUUGAAGCACGUGCACUAAACCGGGCAUGACACAGAGAAGAUUAGCAUAGUUACCAUACAAGGAUGGCAUGCAAAUUGAAGAAUCAUUCCGUAUAUUA